GCCGGGCGCGGUGGCGCGCGCCUGUAGUCCCAGCUAUUCAGGAGGCUGAGGCAGGAGGAUCGCUUGAGCCCAGGAGUUCUGGGCUGCAGUGCGCUAUGCCGAUCGGGUGUCCGCACUAAGUUCGGCAUCAAUAUGGUGACCUCCCGGGAGCGGGGGACCACCAGGUUGCCUAAGGAGGGGUGAACCGGCCCAGGUCGGAAACGGAGCAGGUCAAAAAUCAAGGGCCUUUUAAGGACCAAUGAAAAUGGAAAGGAAUCACAUACAAAGAAAUGAGAUGACUGAUAAGCAUCUAUCUCC
rnacentral:SRP_RNA from 1 species